rnacentral:rRNA from 1 species
CGGCAACAGCUCAAAUUUGAAAUCUGGCCCUCGUGGCCCGAGUUGUAAUUUGUAGAGGAUGCUUUUGGUGCGGUGCCUUCCGAGUUCCCUGGAACGGGACGCCAUAGAGGGUGAGAGCCCCGUCUGGUUGGACACCUAUCCUCUGUAAAGCUCCUUCGACGAGUCGAGUAGUUUGGGAAUGCUGCUCUAAAUGGGAGGUAAAUGUCUUCUAAAGCUAAAUACCGGCCAGAGACCGAUAGCGCACAAGUAGAGUGAUCGAAAGAUGAAAAGCACUUUGAAAAGAGGGUUAAAUAGUACGUGAAAUUGUUGAAAGGGAAGCGUUUGUGACCAGACUUGGGCUUGGUUAAUCAUCCAGCGUUCUCGCUGGUGCACUUUGCCAGCCCAGGCCAGCAUCAGUUUGCCGCGGGGGAUAAAAGCUUCGGGAAUGUGGCUCUUCGGAGUGUUAUAGCCCGCUGCAUAAUACCCUGUGGCGGACUGAGGUUCGCGCAUCUGCAAGGAUGCUGGCGUAAUGGUCAUCAACGACCCGUCUUGAAACACGGACCAAGGAGUCGUCUUCGUAUGCGAGUGUUCGGGUGUCAAACCCCUACGCGUAAUGAAAGUGAACGGAGGUGGGAGCCUCGGCGCACCAUCGACCGAUCCUGAAGUUUACGGAUGGAUUUGAGUAAGAGCAUACGGGGCCGGACCCGAAAGAAGGUGAACUAUGCCUGUAUAGGGUGAAGCCAGAGGAAACUCUGGUGGAGGCUCGCAGCGGUUCUGACGUGCAAAUCGAUCGUCAAAUAUGGGCAUGGGGGCGAA